rnacentral:lncRNA from 1 species
UUCUUCUCUGUCUCCCCACCCAUGACAAAGCAAAACACAAAAGGGGAGAGAAGCUUCCACACCCCUACCCCACCGGGCAGCUUUGGCACUUCCCAGGCUCCAGUGAAUCAGCAGCAGCAGCCUUGCCCAGCAGAGGCACAAUGCCCAUGGGACUUGAUGGUUCCGGGCAGAGCAGGACAGAGCAAAGGAAGAGACAGAAAAUAGCUAAAGUCUGUAACAACUGACCAAACUUGCUCUGGGCACACAUGAGAUGCUCCCCAGGGACCUUGGAAGGGUAUGGAAUUUAUGUGCUGUCUUGGUGGAAGGAUGCAUAGUUUCCAUUAGCUGCCUCUUAUUUGUGGCUGUUCAGCGAGCAUUUGUAGAAAUGUUUGUCCAGACGGAAAAGAAGAAAGAGAGCCGGAAGAGUUGCCACAGCCAGCCUUUGAAGACGGGCUUCASCCAGGCAAUUUUAGGAGCAGCUCCUCUAGGACUCUUGCUGGAAAUUGAAGAGGAAGGUUAUUGGGAAAAACUAUAACCCCAGCUGCUGCAGUUAUUUGGGGAUCACCACCACUGGUGCUCAUUGUCUCCUUCCUCGUCAUCCAUUCUGAAUGCCCUUCUCUCUGCUAGUAUCUCCACCGGGUUCUGGUUUACCUGAUGCCUUGUACUCUGGAGAUUUGUGGUCCCUUGAUGACCACCAGGCACUUCUCAAACUAGGAUUGCUACACUUCACUUGCCUCUCUGUUGUCAUGAUUGGGCAAGAGAGUGCUAAAAGUGAAUCCAUCUUGGCCAAGAUGUUGAUGACUCUUCUUGACUUCUGGUUCCUGAACAUAGGGUUCACAAAGUGCCCAGGUGGCAUCUAUAGCUUGUAGCUCAAGAGGACUCUUGCUGGGUCAUCUGGUGGACGAUUCCUCCUUUGGAUACAAAGACCUUUAGCCCAGCAGGUCCCAAAGUCAGAGCAUCAUCUUUGAUUCAAGAUGUACAUGGCACCAGGUGCCAUGGCUCAUGUCUGUAAUCCCAGCAGCUUGGAAGGGUGAGGCAAGAGGAUCGAKAUUUCAAAGCCAGUCUCAGCAAAAGUGAGGYGCUAAACAACUCAGUGAAAC